rnacentral:rRNA from 1 species
UACGUAGGGGGCUAGCGUUGUCCGGAAUCAUUGGGCGUAAAGAGCGUGUAGGCGGCCCGGUAAGUCCGCUGUAAAAGUCAAAGGCUCAACCUUUGAAUGCCAGUGGAUACUGCCGGGCUAGAGUCCGGAAGAGGCGAGUGGAACUCCUGGUGUAGCGGUGAAAUGCGCAGAUAUCAGGAGGAACACCCGUGGCGAAAGCGGCUCUCUGGGACGGUACUGACGCUGAGACGCGAAAGCGUGGGGAGCGAACAGG